rnacentral:rRNA from 1 species
CGGCGAGUGGCGAACGGGUGAGUAAUAUAUCGGAACGUACCCAAGAGUGGGGGAUAACGUAGCGAAAGUUACGCUAAUACCGCAUACGAUCUAAGGAUGAAAGCAGGGGAUCUUCGGACCUUGUGCUCCUGGAGCGGCCGAUAUCUGAUUAGCUAGUUGGUGAGGUAAAGGCUCACCAAGGCCACGAUCAGUAGCUGGUCUGAGAGGACGACCAGCCACACUGGAACUGAGACACGGUCCAGACUCCUACGGGAGGCAGCAGUGGGGAAUUUUGGACAAUGGGCGAAAGCCUGAUCCAGCAAUGCCGCGUGAGUGAAGAAGGCCUUCGGGUUGUAAAGCUCUUUUGUCAGGGAAGAAACGGUGAGGGCUAAUAUCCCUCGCUAAUGACGGUACCUGAAGAAUAAGCACCGGCUAACUACGUGCCAGCAGCCGCGGUAAUACGUAGGGUGCAAGCGUUAAUCGGAAUUACUGGGCGUAAAGCGUGCGCAGGCGGUUUUGUAAGUCUGACGUGAAAUCCCCGG